GACGAACGCUGGCGGCGUGCUUAACACAUGCAAGUCGAACGGAAAGGCCUGUCCUUCCUUGUGUUGGACGGGUACUCGAGUGGCGAACGGGUGAGUAACACGUGAGUGAUCUGCCCCCAACUUGGGUAUAAGCCUGGGAAACUGGGUCUAAUUCCCGAUAGGACUGCAGGGUGGUGCCUGUGGUGGAAAACGAUUUUCUAGUGGUUGGGGAUGAGCUCGCGGCCUAUCAGCUUGUUGGUGGGGUAAUGGCCUACCAAGGCGGCGACGGGUAGCCGGCCUGGGAGGGUGGACGGCCACAUUGGGACUGAGAUACGGCCCAGACUCCUACGGGAGGCAGCAGUGGGGAAUAAUGCACAAUGGGCGGAAGCCUGAUGCAGCGACGCCGCGUGGGGGAUGACGGCCUUCGGGUUGUAAACUCCUUUCGACCGCGAGGAAGCCGCCUGGUUGGAAGGGUGGUGACGGUAGUGGUAGAAGAAGCACCGGCUAACUACGUG
rnacentral:rRNA from 1 species